CCUACGGGUGGCUGCAGUGAGGAAUAUUGGUCAAUGGCCGAGAGGCUGAACCAGCAAAGUCGCGUGAGGGAAGAAUGUCCUAUGGAUUGUAAACCUCUUUUGUCAGGGAGUAAAGUCACCCACGUGUGGGUGUUGGAGAGUACCUGAAGAAAAAGCAUCGGCUAACUCCGUGCCAGCAGCCGCGGUAAUACGGAGGAUGCGAGCGUUAUGCGGAUUUAUUGGGUUAAAAGGGUGCGUAGGCGGGUUAUCAAGUCAGCGGUAAAAUCCUUGAUCUAAACUCCAUCCAGCCGUUGAAACUGAGGAUCGUGAGUGGGCGAGAAGUAUGCGGAAUGCGUGGUGUAGCGGUGAAAUGCAUAGAUAUCACGAAGAACUCCGAUUGCGAAGGCAGCAUACCGGCGCCCGACUGACGCUGAAGCACGAAAGCGUGGGUAGCGAACAGGAUUAGAUACCCUGGUAGUC
rnacentral:rRNA from 1 species